GACGAACGCUGGCGGCGUGCUUAACACAUGCAAGUCGAACGGAAAGGCCCUGCUUUUGUGGGGUGCUCGAGUGGCGAACGGGUGAGUAACACGUGAGUAACCUGCCCUUGACUUGGGGAUAACUUCAGGAAACUGGGGCUAAUACCGGAUAGGAGCUCCUGCUGCAUGGUGGGGGUUGGAAAGUUUCGGCGGUUGGGGAUGGACUCGCGGCUUAUCAGCUUGUUGGUGGGGUAGUGGCUUACCAAGGCUUUGACGGGUAGCCGGCCUGAGAGGGUGACCGGGCACAUUGGGACUGAGAUACGGCCCAGACUCCUACGGGAGGCAGCAGUGGAGAAUAUUGCACAAUGGGCGGAAGCCUGAUGCAGCAACGCCGCGUGCGGGAUGACGGCCUUCGGGUUGUAAACCGCUUUCGCCUGUGACGAAGCGUGAGUGACGGUAAUGGGUAAAGAAGCACCGGCUAACUACGUG
rnacentral:rRNA from 1 species